rnacentral:rRNA from 1 species
UACACGGAGAGUUUGAUCCUGGCUCAGAAUGAACGCUGGCGGCGUGCUUAACACAUGCAAGUCGAACGAGCGAGUUCCCUUCGGGGGGCGAGCUAGUGGCGCACGGGUGAGUAACGCGUGGGUAACCUACCCUCGGGUUUGGAAUAACACCUCGAAAGGGGUGCUAAUACCAAAUAAGACCACGACGGCUACGGCCGACGGGGUAAAAGGUGGCUGAAUCGAAAGAUGCUAUCGCCGGAGGACGGGCCCGCGUGACAUUAGAUUGAUGGUGAGGUAACGGCUCACCAUGUCUACGAUGUCUAGCUGGUCUGAGAGGAUGAUCAGCCACACUGGGACUGGAACACGGCCCAGACUCCUACGGGAGGCAGCAGUGAGGAAUUAUUCACAAUUAGGGAAACCUAGAUGGUGCAACGCCGCGUGAGUGAAGAAGGCAGUUUUGUCGUAAAGCUCUGUCGUAAGGCAAGAAACCUGCCGGUAGCAAUAUGACCGGCAGCUGACGUUACCUUAGAAGGAAGCCCCGGCUAAAUCCGUGCCAGCAGCCGCGGUAAUACGGAUGGGGCAAGCGUUAUUCGGAAUCAUUGGGUGUAAAGCGCAUGUAGGCGGUGUGGUGUGUCAGAUGUGAAAUCUCGAGGCUUAACCUCGAAAGUGCAUUUGAAACUGCCUCACUUGAGUCUCGGAGAGGAAAGUAGAAUUCCGUGUGUACAGGUGGAAUAGGUAGAGACACGGAGGAACACCGGUGGCGAAAGCGACUUUCUGGACGAUGUACUGACGCUCAGAUGCGAAAGCGUGGGGAGCAAACAGGAUUAGAUACCCUGGUAGUCCACGCUGUAAACGAUGGGUACU